UGUCCAAGAUGGACAGAUGCCUGA
rnacentral:piRNA from 1 species